rnacentral:tRNA from 1 species
AGUUUUUGUAGUUUAAUUUAAAAUAUUAGUUUUGUAAACUAAGGAUGUAAUCCAAAAGCU